CGUAACGGCAGAAAAAACAUUUUGACCUACCGUAUGGUGUGAUCGAACUUCCCAGACGUAACAGCUGUGGGGAAAAAAGAUGACACAUUACAACACCCGCAAAAAAACGCAACUUAGAAAGUGCAGAGGAUGAAGCUCCAGUGACUACAAUGAAGCCAAUAAAGCAAGAAAUACUGAUGUGGCAAAACAAGGCGGAAGUAUUACAAAAUAAAGUGAAUGAGUUGGAAGCCUUGAACACCGAGCUUCGGCAGCAAGUAGUGGAGCUUUCAGCGCAGCAAAAUGACCUGAUUCCUAGUACAUCAGUGGUACGUGAAGAAACUGGUGCUGUUGACCUAUCUAGUGAUGGGAACACAUCAACUGAUGUAGAGUCAUCAGUCACAGAAGAUUCAUGUGAUGACUCUUCUGACUCUUCAAGUUCAAGUUCAGAAGAGACUCAUCAAAGAAGAAAAACAAAGAAAAGCAA